GUAACACGUAGUCAACAUGCCCAGGGGACGUGGAUAACCUCGGGAAACUGAGGAUAAACCGCGAUAGGUCACUACUUCUGGAAUGGGUAAUGACUCAAACCUAUAUGGCCCCUGGAUUGGACUGCGGCCGAUCAGGCUGUUGGUGAGGUAAUGGCCCACCAAACCUGUAACCGGUACGGGCUCUGAGAGGAGGAGCCCGGAGAUGGGGCACUGAGACAAGGGCCCAGGCCCUAUGGGGCGCAGCAGGCGCGAAACCUCUGCAAUAGGCGAAAGCCUGACAGGGUUACUCUGAGUGAUCUCCGUUAAGGAGAUCUUUUGGCACCUCUAAAAAUGGUGCAGAAUAAGGGGUGGGCAAGUCUGGUGUCAGCCGCCGCGGUAAUACCAGCACCCCGAGUGGUCGGGACGUUUAUUGGGCCUAAAGCAUCCGUAGCCGGUUCUACAAGUCUUUCCUUUAAUCCCACCUCUUACAAAAUGGGCUGCGGAAGAUACUAUGGAGCU
rnacentral:rRNA from 1 species